UAUGAAGCAAUAUGAAAGAUUGUUGAACACAUAAGGCAAGAUGAUAUCUGGAAUUAAUGUAAUUAAUAACCUGUUAAAUCAAUGACUGUCAGCUUGGUUAAAAAAUUUAUCUACAUGCACUUUACAAGAGAAUACAUCAUAAAAGGAAAGGUCAAAUAGAAUAACAUGGACAAAGAUUUAUCAGGCCACAGAACAGGGAGAGGGAACAGAGUCUG
rnacentral:lncRNA from 10 species